rnacentral:rRNA from 1 species
CAGCCGCCGCGGUAAUACGUAGGUGGCAAGCGUUGUCCGGAAUUAUUGGGCGUAAAGGGCUCGCAGGCGGUUUCUUAAGUCUGAUGUGAAAGCCCCCGACUCAACCGGGGAGGGUCAUUGGAAACUGGGAAACUUGAGUGCAGAAGAGGAGAGUGGAAUUCCACGUGUAGCGGUGAAAUGCGUAGAGAUGUGGGGGAACACCAGUGGCGAAGGCGACUCUCUGGUCUGUAACUGACGCUGAGGAGCGAAAGCGUGGGGAGCGAACAGGAUUAGAUACCCCAGUAGUCCCUGUCUCUUAUAC